AUGGACACCGGAGGCACGCCGGAGCUGGAGGAGGACACCGUCGUCCUCCCCGAUUGGGUGGUGCUGGACCGCAAGGGCAACACCCUCUGCUACAACAGCCCAGAAGCUGCUCGUGUCGCUGUCGACAAGAACAAGACCGCCGCUCCGGUCGACAUGGACGGCGGCCCCUCCUGCUACGUGACCUUCACCCUCACGGCUCCUCAAAAAGGGAUCUCGUACCUCAACCUCCACUUGCCGGAGGGACCUCCAAUUGCCUUAGACACCCCGCCCGCCUAUGCCUUCCUCCGGGUAACCGACAACAACCUCGUCCUUUUCGACAUCUCAACCCGCAGAAAAAAUUCAAGGAAAUCGUCCUCUUCGACAUCUCCAACCCGAGCCGGACUUGCUGCCGGGAGCCCCCGGCAGAUCUGUUCGUCUACAAGGCCGGCGGUCCUCGCCCCUCGAGGCAUAGUCCUCACUCUUGUCCCUGAGCCCUUCACAAGGAGAGUUCCAAGCCUCGCAACUUCUUCCUCCAGCUCUGCACAUGACCCUCAGUUACGAACCUCGUCCCCCAGCUAUGAUUAUUUCAAGAUGAAAUCAACAUGCUAG
rnacentral:rRNA from 1 species